rnacentral:tRNA from 1 species
AAGAAAGAAGCAUAAGUGGUUUAAUGCGGUUGGCUUGAAACCAUCUUCUGAGGGUUCGAUUCCUUCCUUUCUUG